UACGGAAGGUCCGGGCGUUAUCCGGAUUUAUUGGGUUUAAAGGGAGCGUAGGCUGGAGAUUAAGCGUGUUGUGAAAUGUAGAUGCUCAACAUCUGCACUGCAGCGCGAACUGGUUUCCUUGAGUACGCACAAAGUGGGCGGAAUUCGUGGUGUAGCGGUGAAAUGCUUAGAUAUCACGAAGAACUCCGAUUGCGAAGGCAGCUCACUGGAGCGCAACUGACGCUGAAGCUCGAAAGUGCGGGUAUCGAACAGG
rnacentral:rRNA from 1 species